GAUGAACGCUGGCGGCGUGCCUAAUACAUGCAAGUCGAGCGAACGGACGAGAAGCUUGCUUCUCUGAUGUUAGCGGCGGACGGGUGAGUAACACGUGGAUAACCUACCUAUAAGACUGGGAUAACUUCGGGAAACCGUAGCUAAUACCGGAUAAUAUUUUGAACCGCAUGGUUCAAAAGUGAAAGACGGUCUUGCUGUCACUUAUAGAUGGAUCCGCGCUGCAUUAGCUAGUUGGUAAGGUAACGGCUUACCAAGGCAACGAUGCAUAGCCGACCUGAGAGGGUGAUCGGCCACACUGGAACUGAGACACGGUCCAGACUCCUACGGGAGGCAGCGGUAGGGAAUCUUCCGCAAUGGGCGAAAGCCUGACGGAGCAACGCCGCGUGAGUGAUGAAGGUCUUCGGAUCGUAAAACUCUGUUAUUAGGGAAGAACAUAUGUGUAAGUAACUGUGCACAUCUUGACGGUACCUAAUCAGAAAGCCACGGCUAACUACGU
rnacentral:rRNA from 1 species